rnacentral:lncRNA from 10 species
CUGGAAGGCAAGCGAGGAGGUAGCAGUAGGCACAGGGGAACCACUUCCCUAACCCCAGGACUCUCAGGUCUGCACGGUUUGGGACACAGAAGGAAGCCGCCGGCAGCAUCUUUUGCUGCUGAAAUGCAGAUGGUUUGGACACUUCAUAAAGAGGGCAUUAAUAAGCCCGCCGAGUGAGCGCCAGGGCGGGAUUCUCCCACAAAUUCAAGGCAUUCCUUUAGUUAGAUGGAGAAGUUAUCAGAAACCUGGGAGAAAAGAAAAUACUCAGAGAAAGCCUAAGCGACCGUAUACACUGGGAGCUGAGGGUCCAUUAGCUCUCCUUGCAAGGAAGCUUCAGUUUUCUCAUCUGGAAAAGGGGGAUAAUAGCAGAAGCCACCUCUUCAGACUAGUGAUGUUCUCCAGGUGACCUGAAUCUGGCAGAAGCCUCCUCCAUCCAUCUUUUUAGAAGGACCCUCAGUUGCCAGAGCCAGUCUGACACCUUCUUCCAUACCAGCUGCUUCAGACCAGCCUGGGGGCCUGCUCUGGGGGUGGAACCAUUGUCAAGUUUCACCCAUCAGCUAAAAACAUGCCACUUGGAUUCAUUGCAGGGACUUUCUUAGUUGACGAGUGGGAGCAGAGGUCCCCAUAAUCAGCAGCUGGUUUGCUCAUUGCUGGGAAACACAGAAGACAGGUCGGUCACUGGACAGGGGGUGCAGAACCCAGCGCUGGAGUGCACAGAGGAUGCAGACACACACAGAGAGAAGAACGUGUAAGAUGUCCAUCUGCAAGACAAGGAGAGAGGCUUCAGGAGAAAGCAACCCUGCUCACACUUUGAUCACAGACUUGUGGCCUCCAGAAUGAGACCGUGAAUCCCCUGAUUGCUGACUCCCUGGUCCCAGCACUGUGCUGAUGAAUUCCUGAUGUCCACGGAGCUACUACAAGAUCUGAGAUUUAUAGCUCUGAAACUUCAGAAGAUAAUCGAGAUGAUACCUUUGGAUAAAGAACCUGAAUGUAUCAACUAGACUGUUUGAAAAGACACAUUUUAAUAAAUAACCUGAAUAUAUAAGCCAGAUUGUUUCAAGGGCUGUAGAAGAAACAUUUUAAAUCCUUUCUCUGAAAAAACUAUUAAAAACACAGAAAACGGGAUACUAAUAGAAACAAUCCAGAAAGGCUUAGCAGGACAACUCAGCAAAACAACACAUCAAUGACCACUUUUAACAGUCUGUGGAAGUCUUUUGCCAGUAAGGGAAGCCAUGGAGUUGUCCUUGAUGCUUUUGUUUUUAGUCCUGUAACCUAGUCAUUAAAACCUCCCAUGGAACUUUUGCUUGGUGGCAUCUUGGAUUGGGAGAAGACAACGGUCUUCUUGUCUGUCACCUACACAUGUCAACGGUUGAGAGCUAUAAAUCAGUACAUCCAAAAAAAUUGCUCUUUCCUUGAUGUAAUCCCAAACGUAUCCAACAUACAAAUGAAAUUAGCUUCCUAUAAUUUAGUUGUCUUGUUCACAUACCUCAAGAUAAGCUUCUUCCAAGACGCCAUUCCCAAAGAAUAAAAAUUAGAAGAUCAAGA